CAUAAAAAAACAAGAAGUAGAAGAGAAGAAAAAACUCUUCUAUUUUUCAUAUAAGCUUUUCCCUUCUGUCUGUCCUUUUUCUUUCUGUUGCUUCUUUCUCUUCUGUCUUUUCGUUCUCUUCAU
rnacentral:ribozyme from 1 species